CCUUCUGUGGCUCAGUUUGUAGUGCAUUGCACUGACAAUGCGAAGGUUGUGGGUUCAAAUCCUAGGGAAAGUA